rnacentral:rRNA from 1 species
GAUGAACGCUAGCGAUAGGCUUAACACAUGCAAGUCGAGGGGCAGCACAAGGUAGCUUGCUAUCUGGGUGGCGACCGGCGCACGGGUGCGUAACGCGUAUGCAACUUGCCCUAUACAGGAGGAUAACCCGUCGAAAGACGGACUAAUACUGCGUAUGCUCACAACUUGGCAUCAAGUGGUGAGGAAAGAAAUUCGGUAUAGGAUAGGCAUGCGUCCCAUUAGCUUGUUGGUGAGGUAACGGCUCACCAAGGCAACGAUGGGUAGGGGAACUGAGAGGUUUAUCCCCCACACUGGUACUGAGACACGGACCAGACUCCUACGGGAGGCAGCAGUGAGGAAGAUUGGUCAAUGGGCGCGAGCCUGAACCAGCCAAGUCGCGUGAAGGAUGACUGUCUUAUGGAUUGUAAACUUCUUUUAGACGGGAAUAACAAGAGUCACGGGUGACUCCCUGCAUGUACCGUAUGAAUAAGCAUCGGCUAACUCCGUG